GCGAGUGUAGUUUAAUGGUAAAAUAUCUCCUUGCCAAGGAGGCGUUGGGGGUUCGAUUCCCCUCACCCGCUCCA
rnacentral:tRNA from 1 species